rnacentral:lncRNA from 10 species
CUGCUGCGGCCCGGGCCGGGCCCUGAGGGGAAUGGUGACUUCUCUGAUCUCUACCCCAACCCUGACCUCACAGUGUGACCUGUACUUCCAACCCUGAAUCUUGCUUGACCUCAAGCUCCGGCAGCUGUUGAAGAGGAGCCGUGUGGCGCCGCCAGGCCUGUCCUCUUAGGACUCAAACCCAGACCCUGGACUGAUUUUCCAGUCCCCACCGUCCUGCGGGACAGCCAGCGUAUGCUAAUGUUGCAAACCCAUGAUAAUGUAUGUGGAAUAUCCUGCCAUUGGGGUUUUACAUUAAAACCCCAGAAUGGCUGCAGAGGGGUGAACAGGCCCCAAUAUUUGGGGUGCUGUGAUACCCCUCUUCUACCCACAAGGAGCCCUCUUGAUGAUUUCUGUGAAAUCGAGGCCCCUUGAUUGUUUCUGUGAAACACCCUGCACCCCUAGUCCUUUCCCCACUGAGAUCUUUCGGGUUCUCUCCCCUAACUCAGCUCUUCGUUCCCAGAAACCCAGAUGUAAUCCCCCUACGUGGUGCUUGGGGCAUCCCGAUACCAUCUCAGUAAAUCUCCUACAAUGGCCUCCUCACCCUCCCCGGGACCCACACCCUUCAGGUCCUCACCCUGAGACAGGAGGGACCCUCUGAGAUCAGGGACCCUUAGGUCUCACUGCUCUCUGAUUCAGAGCUCAGCUGGGCCCCCAGUUCCAGACCCCAGCAUUCCCGGUCACUCCCUCCCUAAUCUGAGCAUCACUCAAGCUCUUUAUUAAACUCAAUUUGGGCCAGAUUUGGUGGCUCAUGCCUGUAAUCCUAACACUCUGGGAGGCCGAGGCGGGCGGAUCACUUGAGGUGAGGAGUUUGAGACCAGCCUGGCCAACAUGGUGAAACCCUGUCUCCACUAAAAAUACAAAAACAAUUGGCUGGACAUGGUGGCAUGCGCCUGUAGUCCCAGCUACUUGGGAGGCUGAGGCAGAAGAAUUGAUUGAACCCAGGAGGCGGAGGUUGCAGUGAGCCGAGAUUGUGCCACUGCACUCCAGCCUAGGUGACAAAGAGAGACUCUGUCUCAAAA